GUUUACAGCUGAAGUCAUCAAGGAGAUGGAUGCCAACGGCGAUACAUGCAAAUAUCUAGUCGCUCGCUCUAUUUACUCAGAAUCAGACUUCCAGGAGAAAAAGGACAAGAGAAAAAACACUCAGAAAUCAUUCCGAAAGAGGCUAAAAAAGAAAUGCAGGUUGUAAUGCCCAUCAUGUUGUAUCUUACACUAAACUUAUGGGAGUAGGAGCUAAUGCAGCUGCAUCUCCAGGUCCGUUGGAAUAGGCUCAUGGAAUUUAGAGUGAAUUCAAAUUUUAAAUAGACACCAUAGUCACCAGAAGCUUAAUGGUGACACUCCUGUCUCCUCUUUCUGAGUUGGCUCAAUCAUCUGGCGUUCUUGCUGACACAGGUCGCUGUUCCUAGAUGCCAUUUAAUGGCUCCGCGUUCUGUGGCUCAAUUAGU